GACGAACGCUGGCGGCGUGCCUAAUACAUGCAAGUCGAGCGAGCGGCGGACGGGUGAGUAAUGUCUGGGAAACUGCCUGAUGGAGGGGGAUAACUCCUGGAAACGGUAGCUAAUACCGCAUACCAUCAGAUGUGCCCCGAUGGGAGUAGCUAGUAGGUGGGGUAACGGCUCACCUAGGCGACGAUCCCUAGCUGGUCUGAGAGGAUGACCAGCCACACUGGAACUGAGACACGGUCCAGACUCCUACGGGAGGCAGCAGUGGGGAAUAUUGCACAAUGGGCGCAAGCCUGAUGCAGCCAUGCCGCGUGUAUGAAGAAGGCCUUCGGGUUGUAAAGUACUUUCAGCGGGGAGGCGUUACCCGCAGAAGAAGCACCGGCUAACUCCGUGCCAGCAGCCGCGGUAAUUC
rnacentral:rRNA from 1 species